GGGGAAAUCGUCUAGUGGUAAGACACAGACUUUGCAUCUGCCGGUCUCCGGAUACCUAGAAGCGAUUGUCUGCAACCGGUGUUCGAUUCACCGUCUCUCCA
rnacentral:tRNA from 1 species